rnacentral:rRNA from 1 species
GAUCAAGCUAGGAAGAGCAUAGGGCGGAUGCCUAGCCACCAAGCGCCGACGAAGGACGUAGCAAGCUGCGAAAAGCCAUGGGAAGCUGGCAAGCAGGCGUAGAACCAUGGAUGUCCGAAUGGGGAAACCCGGCGGGGGUCAUGCCCCGUCACCCAUACCUGAAUAAAAUAGGGUAUGAGGAGGGAACCCGGUGAACUGAAACAUCUAAGUAACCGGAGGAGAAGAAAGAAACAUCGAUUUCCUAAGUAGCGGCGAGCGAAAGGGAAACAGCCCAAACCUGGCCUCUUCGGAGGGCAGGGGUUGCGGACCCGGUAAGGUAGUGCAAAGGAUAGCCGAACACCUUUGGAAAGAGGGAUCGAAGAAGGUAAGAAUCCUGUAGGCGAAAUUUGGAGCACACUGCGGGGAUCCAGAGUACCACGGGACACGAGGAAUCCAGUGGGAAGCAGGGGGGACCACCCUCCAAGGCUAAAUACGACUUGGUGAGCGAUAGCGGACAGUACCGUGAGGGAAAGGUGAAAAGCACCCCGGGAGGGGAGUGAAAGAGAACCUGAAACCCUAUGUUUACAAGCAGAGGAAGCACAAUUAAGGUGCGACCUCGUACUUUUUGUAGAACGGACCGGCGAGUUACAGUAUGCAGCGAGGUUAAGGACUGAAGGUCUGGAGCCGAAGGGAAACCGAGUCUGAACAGGGCGAAAUGAGUUGCAUGCCGUAGACCCGAAACCAGGUGACCUAUCCAUGAGCAGGUUGAAGUGGGAGUAAAAUUCCAUGGAGGACCGAACCACACGUCUGUUAAAAAAGGCGGGGAUGACUUGUGGAUAGCGGAGAAAUUCCAAUCGAACUUGGAGAUAGCUGGUUCUCCUCGAAAUAGCUUUAGGGCUAGCCUCAGGGGAUGACAUAUGGAGGUAGAGCACUGAAUGGGCUAGGGGGCCUCACAGCUUACCGAACCUUAUCAAACUUCGAAUGCCAUAAUGUUGGACCCUGGGAGUCAGACUACGGGAGAUAAGUUUCGUGGUCAAAAGGGAAACAGCCCAGACCAACAGCUAAGGUCCCAAAGUGCAGGUUAAGUGGAAAAGGAUGUGGGAUUGCACAGACAACCAGGAUGUUGGCUUAGAAGCAGCCACGCAUUCAAAGAGUGCGUAAUAGCUCACUGGUCGAGUGAUCCUGCGCCGAAAAUGUAACGGGGCUAAACCUGCCACCGAAGCUUUGGAAUCCGUACGGAAGUAUGGGUUGGUAGAGGAGCAUUGUAUACGGGUAGAAGCAUGACCGGGAGGACAUGUGGACUGUAUAGAAGAGAGAAUGCCGGUAUAAGUAGCGAGAGCAAAGUGAGAAUCUUUGCCGUCGAAAGCCUAAGGUUUCCUGAGGAAGGUUCGUCCCCUCAGGGUAAGUCGGGACCUAAGCCGAGGACUGAAAGGUCGUAGGCGAUGGACAGCAGGUUGAGAUUCCUGCACCACUCAUGGACGAUUGACUGAAGCAGUGACACAGAAGGAUAGGCUGAGCGGGGUGAUGGUCAACUCCGUUGCGAAGGCGAGGCUGUGGCGUAGUGAAGUACGCGUCACGAGAAGGCUGGGCCGAAGCGAGACCGAAAAACAAGUAGGGAAACAGCUGAAUUCACGCUGGCGAGAAAAGCUGCUAGGGAGUACAUGGGUGCCCGUACCGCAAACCGACACAGGUAGGCGAGGAGAGAAUCCUAAGACGAACGGGAGAACCCUUGUUAAGGAACUCGGCAAAAUGACCCCGUAACUUCGGGAGAAGGGGUGCCACAGGAAUGUGGCCGCAGAGAAUAGGCCCAAGCGACUGUUUAGCAAAAACACAGGUAUCUGCGAAAUCGAGAGAUGACGUAUAGGUGCUGACGCCUGCCCGGUGCUGGAAGGUCAAGGGGAAGUGUUAGAGCAAUCGAAGCACGGAACUUAAGCCCCAGUAAACGGCGGCCGUAACUAUAACGGUCCUAAGGUAGCGAAAUUCCUUGUCGGGUAAGUUCCGACCCGCACGAAAGGCGUAACGAUUUGGGCACUGUCUCAACAAGGGACCCGGCGAAAUUGUAGUAUGCGUGAAGAUGCGCAUUACCCGCGAUAGGACGGAAAGACCCCGUAGAGCUUUACUGCAGCUUGAUAUUGGAUUUCGGCAACAGAUGUACAGGAUAGGUGGGAGGCAGAGAAGUCGGGACGCCAGUUUCGGCGGAGCCACCCUUGGGAUACCACCCUUUUGUUGCUGGGGUUCUAACAGCUGGCCGUAAACCGGCAGCUGGACAGUGUCAGGUAGGCAGUUUGACUGGGGCGGUCGCCUCCCAAAGAGUAACGGAGGCGUUCAAAGGUCUCCUCAGAAUGGUUGGAAAUCAUUCACAGAGUGCAAAGGCAGAAGGGGGCCUGACUGCGAGACAGACAAGUCGAGCAGGGAGGAAACUCGGACUUAGUGAUCCGGCGGUAAGUGAGUGGAAAUGCCGUCGCUCAACGGAUAAAAGCUACCUCGGGGAUAACAGGCUUAUCUCCCCCAAGCGUCCACAGCGACGGGGAGGUUUGGCACCUCGAUGUCGGCUCGUCGCAUCCUGGGGCUGAAGUAGGUCCCAAGGGUUUGGCUGUUCGCCAAUUAAAGCGGCACGCGAGCUGGGUUCAGAACGUCGUGAGACAGUUCGGUCCCUAUCCAUCGCGGGCGGAGGAUAUUUGAGAGGAGCUGUCCUUAGUACGAGAGGACCGGGAUGGACGUACCUCUGGUGAACCAGUUGUUCUGCCAAGGGCAUAGCUGGGUAGCGAAGUACGGACGGGAUAAACGCUGAAGGCAUCUAAGCGUGAAGCCCCCCUCAAGAUAAGAUAUCCCAUUCCGAAAGGAAGUAAGACCCCUUGAAGAAGACAAGGUAGAUAGGCCAGGAGUGGAAGUGCAGCAAUGUAUGAAGCGGACUGGUACUAAUCGGUCGAGGGCUUGAUCC